CUUCCUCCACAAAGGGGUCCUGGAGGUGCACGUUCUCGCAGCCUUCCAUAGCUUGCCCCAAUUCAACAGGCAAUUCAAAAACCUAGGUGCUGUUGAAAGGAACGCCUCCCUAAGCCUGAUGUCCCUGGGAUGGACACAGCUGGUCGCCGUCUAUCCUACCUUGGCCUGCAGGGGCCGGGGCCCUCCUAGAGGCGUCCCCGCCCCCAUCCACUCCGAACAGCCGAAAACCGUCUCUAAGUCACCUUUCUGACUCCCCUUCCGCUGCUCCAGCUAGAUCCAGGAGGUGAGUCAACCACCCCUGCCCACUCUGGCAUCCUCAGAUCGCCUCUACGCCCGCAAGAGCAACAAGGACCCCCGGGAACCCACCUAAGAUCGUCAUCUCUCUGGCCAUCACAGUCCCGCCGAACAGGCUUGUGAUGACUGUACCAGACGUGAGGCACCGCCCCCACUCCUCCCGGCAGUCCCGCAGCCCCCUGGGAAAUGUAGUCCGCUUGCUCUGAGGCAAUCGGAGAAGCUAUCGCUCUGACCAAAGCAAGGACUUCAUCUACCGUGAGGGCGCGGGGCAAAGAGCCUCCAUUCAACCGCUGCCAGUGACGACUGAGUCCCCCUUCCACGCAACGGCCGGCAGGACCAGUGAGACUGAGGGGGAGGAGCGCCGUGGCGAGAGACUGGCGUUUAUAAUCAAACCUGUGGUCCCGCGAUCCUACUUGAGGGAAAACAGGCUAUCUCUUUAGCCCCGCCCCGCGCUUUGCAUUCUGGGAAGCGGAGUUCCAGCCUUUCUCUUUCCGCGGGAGGGAAUGAAAGGGAGGGUGAGAACCGUUAGUUAUUUCUUUCUUUGGUCGUGCCCCUAAUCAGGUCCAGGAUUCGAGUUUGUGUUCUUUCGUUUUAAUUCCUUUUAAAGCGCGUUCGUUUGCCUGAGAUCUAGCUUCUAGAUGGCGUUCCUAUAGCCUCCCGGAGCCCCAGCCAUCCUCCGUAGAAGGGUCCCUGCCGCAGUGCGGGGCCUGAGGGAAGUCGGCUCUGGCGUCCGUGCUCCAACGCUGGGAGCAGCCCUGAAACUCCAGUGACCCUCAGCCGUCUGCCUUUGUUUUGGGAUAAAUGAAUUCAAGCAUUCUUCAGUCAAUUCGAUUUAUCCAAGGGAUCAGGGACACAUUUUCUCUAUUGCUAGCACUGACGUGGGCCAUUAAAAACAAAAACAAAAACGAAAUUAAAAAGAAAACCCUUAGCUCUCUCUUCAAGUAAGUCUUAAGUGGCCAAAAUUGACCUUAUGGGCAAGUCCUGUAACGUGACAGCCAUUUUAGGACGCUUGUGACAUGCUGUUCAGGUUCUAGUCUGAAGUAGGAUUUUUCUCGCAUCUUGGUCACUGGUAGCACUUAAUGACUCCUCUGAGAGUGGUUUUGUCAUUUUUGCUGUUAGAGUUCACGAUAACUAAGAUCCUGGAGAAUUGAAUCCAUUUUCUCAGCUUAGAUAUAAAUCAAACCAUCCCUGUUGACAACACGUCAGCCUGCUGUGGGAAUACAUUGCUGGUUAUUUCUGACUUAUCAAUGUGAAUUUUGAUUAUGGAAGCUGAAUUCUGGUUGAUAGGGAUCCAUUGUAAUGUUCUCUCUACUUUUGCGCAUUUUUAAGUAUUUCAUAAUGCGAAAUAUAAAAAGUGUGUGUCUAUAGUGAGUGCUGUUCAAUAAGAUUCUUAUAAGGAGUGAAGAAUUCAAGCACUUAGUUCUUAAGUAUUACUUGUAAUGGGCAGUGGGCUGGAGGUGUUCCAGGCAGACGGAACUCAAUUACCAAGAGCACAGAAGCAAGAGAUCAUCUAUUCCAUAGAUUAGAAAGUGGUGGAUCAUAAAGCAUGAGGUAGAAUUCUGAGAGACAGAACUAGAGACUUAAACCAGAUUAAGAUUAGCCGUCUGUGACAAGCACUGGUCAUUGGGAUUCUCCCUGCCACUCACUCCUUUCUCCUUGCUAACAAGAUCCUGAUUUGUUCAAGAAGCAGGUAAAGAUUAUGUGAUCUCAGAGUAGAAGGCCUUUAGAAUUAAGAUUGAACUAAAUAGGUUGUAUUCAUUUUCUAUUUCUGCCUUAACAAAUUACCACAAAUUUAGUGUCUUAAACCAACUCAAAUCUAUUAUUUUUACAGUUCGGUAUAUCAGAAAUUUGGUAUGGGUCUCACUUAACUAAAAGCAAGUUAUUAGCAAAGCUGCAUUCCUUUCUGGAUGUUCUAGGGGAGAAUCAGUUUCCUGCUAAUUUGAGUUAUUGGCAGAAUUCAUUUUCUUGCAGUUGUAGGGUUCAGGUCUUCAUUUUCUUGCUGGCUGUAACCUGAGAGCUGUUUCCAGUUUCUGAGGCCAUACACAUAUCUUAGCUCAGAGACCCUCUUUCUCCAUCUUCAAAGCCAGCAACAGCGGGUCAGGUCCUUUACAGAGGACAUUUUUUUGCAUCGCUCUUCCAAAUUUUAGAUGUCAUGUGUUUACAUUGGACCUAUCUGGACAACUCAACGUAAUCUCCAUUUCAAACCCUGUAAACUUAUCAUAUCUGCAAAGUCCGUUUUGCCAUGUAAGGUAACUAUUCACGAGUUCUAACAGUUUGAGGAGGCCUUUAUUAUGCCUACUAAAAUGGUUCUGUGGCCCCUCAGAUUCACAUCUGUCCACAUACAAAAUGCAACAUCCACCAAAGUCCCAUCCCAUUAUAGCAUGAACUCAAAGUCCAGAAAGUUCAUCUAUACUUCAUCAGUUCAAAAGUCUCGCAUCUCAUUAUCUAAAUCAACUAAAUGGGGUAGUAACUGAUACCACUUAUCCCUUCUUGUUUGUUUACAAUCAGAGGAACAAUGAAAUACUUAGAUAAGAAUGCUGGUGAGACUAUUCCAGUAAUGUUAUAAAGAACAGAAAAGUCAAGGCACUGGGGUUGGGAAGUAAUCAUUGUUAUCAUUCUCCAAUAGUGACCAAUUAAUUCGUUGUUUUUAUAGUUAUUGUUUGGUGUUUUAUGUUACAAUCCAUUGCAAUUAUUAUCCUUCUUGAUACUUAGAUUGCUUUAAUUUUGGCCGAUGGCAGCCUCUUCAAAAUUCACUCAUGAAUGCUUUUGACACAAUCGCUUUACUUACUGCCUUGCUACCUGCUCUAAAAAGAUAUCUAGAAUCCUCUUAUUUUUUUUUGUUUGUUUUGUUUUGUUUCAUACUUAUAAUUAACUGUAUGUCUAAGGAACCCUGCUUUCUUUUAUUAAGAAAGUGUGGUAUCUGGAGACCAUAAUUUGUAUGCCAGGGGGUUAUUAUUUUAAGGGUGCCAGUUCUUUUUAUAUCUUUGAAUUCAGUGAAAUAUCAAAUAAAAAGCCAGCAGGAUAUUUUAUGACUUGAUAAAAUGACAAUAAAAUUUAUUUGGAAUAUUUAAGAUAAGAAUUUAAUGGGUAUAUAGUCCUUGCGCAUGUUAAGUGACAAAACUACAAACUUAAUACUACAGAGGAAACAGAAAAUGGACUUUAGGCUCAGCAGCAGCACAUGCUUGUAGCCCCAGCUACUCGGGAGACUGAGGUGGAAGGAACACCUGAGCCCAGGAUUUUGAAUCCAGCCUAGGCAGCAUAGCAAGAACCCUAUUGCAAAAAACUAAAUAAAAGAAAUAAAAAUAAAACAGACCUAAGAAGAAAGUGGCAAUCUCUUCAAAAUAAAUGAAAGCUAUAUUAUUCAACAAAUGUAACAGGGCAGUUGGCUAUUUAUAACUUUGAAUGUAAAAAGGGAUAUUAUACCUUAACAUCAAAAUAAAUAUAAAUAGAUAAAAUGUUUAAUUAAAUAACUACAAGUAGUUUUAUUCAUUAACUUAGGGGUAGGAGAAGUCUUUGAAAUUAAGACUUAAAACCUAGAAACAAAUAAGGCAAAACUAAACUUAACAGAUAAAUUUGAUUAUGUAGAAUUUAAGAUUAUCUAGCAGGCAGAAUUACCUAUUUGAAUUUAUAUGAAGUCAAAAGACAAAUGACAAACUGAAGAAAUACUAAACAUACAUCAUGAUCUAUAAUAGAUUUAAUUCCUUUAUGGAGAAUUCCUUCAGAGUAUAAAGGUGUACAACUCAAUUGAAAAAUAAGAAAGGACAUAGACAAUAGAAAAUAAAAAUAACCAACAAACAUGAAAAUAUAUUCUACCUUAGUCACACUUAAAUAAACAUAAAUCAGAAUAAUAACAUGUCAUUUCUACCUAUCUGUAAUCAGUUGAAUUGUGGCCCCCUCCAAAAAAGGUAUGCUGGAGUGCUAAACCCCUGUACCUCAGAAUGUGACUUUAUUUGGAAAUAAAGUUGUUGGACAUAUAAUCAGAUAAUAUGAGGUCACACAGAAAUAGGGUGGUCUGUUAAUCCAGUAUUACUGGUAUCCUUAUAAGAAAAGGGCCAUAUAAAGGCACGGAAACACAAGGAGAAUGCUAUGGGAUGACCAAGGCAGUGAUUAGAGUUAUGUAGCUACAAGCCAAUGAACGUCAAAGAUUGUCAACAAACCAGCAGAGCUACGAAGAGUCAAUAAAGGAUUCCCCUGCAUGUUUUAGAGGGGACAUGCCCAACUCAUAUUUUGAUUUUGGACUUCUAAUCUCCAAAACUAUGAGACAAUAACAUUUUGUUGUUUUAAAGCCAUGCAGUUUGUGAUAAUUUGUUAUGGCAGCCCUAGGAAACUAUAUACUAUCUUACUGGAAAAAUAUUUAAAUAAUGAUAAGCAGUGCUAGUGAAUGUGUCUGUUGCUCAUGAUAGGCCUGUUUGUGGAGUACAUUUUGAAAGGGUAAUAUUGAUUAAAAUGCAGGGCACAUAGACUUACAUUUACAGCCAUUAUUAUAAUGAAUAGAAUUAUUCUUUCUCCACAGAGAAAGAGAUGGAAAACAGCACAAAAUUAGAUGAAAUAAUAGUUUCAGACUUUGGAGAAUAGGCAGAGAAACACUAUGAUCCCUGAGAAAAAAGAGAUAAACCACGUAAAGUCUAUAGUCAUCCUGUAUUUUUAUUGAGAGACACACAUGCAAGACCACAGUGUAGACGAAAGUCCCAAGGAGAGUAUAUGGCCUUGCCUUGUAUAGAAGACACAUACCAGAGUUCAGGCGUUUUGGAAGGAGGCUGAAGUUGCAGCAAAGGGCUCUGAAGAGGUAAGCGCUAUAUAGAAUACCAGAAAUCCCCAAAAUAUUGGGAUACCUUUACUUCACACCAUACACAAAAAUUAACUUGAAAUUAGUUAUAGAUCGAAAUGUAAGACCUCAAAACUCAAACUACAAAUCUGUAGGAAAACGCAUGAGAGAAGAUAUUUGUGAUCUUCUUGUAGGUAAAGAUUCCCUACAUGUGAAAUAAAAAGCAUGAAUCAUAAAAAAGUUGAUAAAUAGAAUGUCAUUAACAUUAAAAAUUUCUAUUCUUACAUGCCAUCAAGAAAUGAAAAGUCAACUCACGAACUGAGAAAAUAUAGUACAUAUAUCUAACAAAAGACUUGUAUCUAGAGUUUAUGAGUAACUCUUACAACUAAAUAAUAAUAUAACAGAAAAUACCUAGUUAAAAUUUGGUUGUAAGAUUGUAAUAGAGAUUUCAUAAAAGAAAAUAUACUAAUAGCCAAUAAACACAUGGUAAGAUAGUUAACACUGGGGACAAACAAAACCACUACACGUCCACUACAAUGGCUAAAAUUUAAAGGUUGAUUCACUAAGUGUUGACAUAGAUAGGGAACAACUGGAAUUCUUAUACAUCACCAGCAAUAUUAUAAAAUGGUACCUUAACUUUGCAAAAACAGUUUGACAGUUUCUUAUGUUGGUAAACAUAUCCUUACCAUAUGACUCAGCAAUUUCACUUGAUAUUUAACCAACAAAAAUAAAACCAUAUCAAAAAAAAUUGUGCAAGGAUGUAUGUAGCAGUUUUUCUUGCAGUAGCCACAAACUAAAUCAUAGAUCCAUUAACAGUUGAGCGAAUAGUUUUACUGUACAAUUGUGCAUAAGAAGUAUUAAAAUGUGUCCACACAGUGACUUAUACAUGAAUGAUUUGGGAAUCUGUGUUCCUAAUGGCCUCCAAACAGAAGCAAUACAAAUUCAGCAGGUAAAUGGAGAUGCCAAUUAUGGUAUAUCCAUAUAACAGAAUACUACUCAGCAACAGAAAGGAAUCAUUGAUGAAUACAAUAACAUUAUGAUGAGCUAAGCAGAAGAACCCAGGCACAGAAGAAUUUCUACUCUGUGAUUAAAUGUAUAGGAAAUUCUAGAAAAGAAAUACCUAAUACACAGUGAAAGAAAGCAGGGCAGUAAUAGCUGAGAUGCAAGGAGGUGAUUGACUGGGAAGAGGCACCAGGGAAGUUUUUACAAUGAUGCAAAUGUUCCACAUCUUAACUGUGGUAGUGGUCACAUGGAUAUAGAUCUAUAUUUCUCUACAUAGAUAUCUCCUUGUGUAAAUACUUAUGUAUAUAAAUAUAUCUCUGUCAAACUCAUUAGAUUGCACAGUUAAAAUGGAUGAAUUUUAUUUUAUGUAAAUUAUACUUAAAUAAAGUUAUUUUGAAAAAUAAAAUUUUCUAUACCUGAAAACUGUGAAGAAGAACACCAGAAAUUCUAAGUAUUCUACUGCUAGGAAUUUAUAAAUAUUCUUAUGAAAGUACACAUCUUAAUUGCUCAUGGCAGGACUCUUUCCCAAAAAAUAAUUGGAAAUGACCUAAUCAACCAUUUAUGGCUCUGUCAAACAGUGGAGUUAUAACAAAAAAUGAAAUUCAUUUGUAUUGUUGUAUUUCUAAAAAGUGUUUCUAAACCGUGUUGUUAAGUAAAAUCAAUCAAGGUUUGGAGCACAUAUUAAUUAAUUACACAUUAAUACUACUUCGAGUGGAUAGCCUAAACAAUAUGUGCUAAUAGCAUAAACAUUUUAUGUCCACUUUAAUUUAAUUUAAGCUUUAACUUAUUACUGUCUUUACUAUAUUUUCUUAUUUCUAUUAUCUUUUCAUCUUUGAACCAUUGGUUAUUUAGAAGUGUGCUUCCCAAUUUCCAAACAUUUGGUGAUUUUCUAAUUACCUUUUUGUUAUGAUUUCUAGUAUAAUUAUACUGUGGUUGGACAACAUAUUCUGUAUGAUUUUAAUCCUUUGAAAUAUAUUCACACUUGUUUUAUUGUCUAGAAUAUAUUCUGUUUUGGUGAAUAUUCCAUAUCUAUGUGAAAAAUGUGUGUUCUGCCAUUUCUGGGUGUAGUAUUUUGGAACUAUCAUUUAGAUGUAUUUUACGGCUUCUGUAUCCUAGUUUUGUUCUUAUUAUUGUUCUAAAUGCUUUAUCUGUCAUUGAGAGUUGUAGGUUAAAACAUCCAUCUAUGAUUGUGGAUUUUCCCAAUUGAUGUGUGUGUGUGUGUGUGUGUGUGUGUGUGUGUGUGCUCUGUUUUUAGGCAAAUACAAAUUUAAGAUUAUAAUUAUUUUAUUAGCAUGAAAUAUUCCUUUUUAUAUUUAAUAAUACAUUUUGUUUUAGAGACUACUUUGUCCCAGGAUCAGAACAGAACUACACAGCAAAAUUUAAGGUGAUGCCUACUCUCUGAUACCGACUCUGCAGUUGUAGGACCCUGAGAGUAAGCUCCCCCUUAAAUUUUGUGCCCAAAUGCCUCAUCCUGUAAGAGGCAUUCACUCUUAUGGCAGUUGCACUUGCUUUCCUUGCCCUUGUUCCAGUCCUGAUUUGUCUGAUAUUAAUAGAGUAACUCCAGCUUUCUUUUGUUAGUAUAUCCUAAGUACAUUUUCCCUAUCCUAUAUCUCUUCACCCGUUUAUCUCCUUAUAUUUAACAUGUUUAUUGUAUGGAAGCUAAAUGAUGUGUACACAUACACAUAGAGUAUGGAAUAAUAGACACUGGGAACUCGAAAGGGUGAGAGGGUGGGGUAUGUGAGCGAUGAGAAAUCACUUAAUGGGUACAAUGUACGAUAUUGAAUGAUGGUUACACUAAAAGCCUAGACUUUACCACUAUGCAAUAUAUAUCGAUGUAACGAAGUUACACUUGUACCCCUUACAUUUAUACAGAUUUUUUUUUAAAUAGUGUCUCUUGUAAAUAGUAUAUAGUUGGGCUUAUGUUUUUGCAGUAGGAUAAUAUGUCUUUUAUUUAUAGUCUUUAGUCAAUUUACAUUAACUAUAGCUAUGGAUAUAGAUCAAUGCAUGGAUUUAAGUCUAUCAUCUUCCUUUAUUUAAAAAGUAUCAUUUUUUUUACUUCUUUCCUGCUGUCUUUGAGAUCACUCAGUAUUUUUUAUUCCAUUUUAUAUCUUUUAUUUUUUCAGUUAAAAAUCUUUUUCUUUCAUUGUUUAGUGGUUAUCGUAGUGAUUUUAACAUAUAUCUUUGACUUAUUACAUUUAGUCCUUUUAUCAUGUCUUGAAGGAUGCAAAACUCUCACAGCACUUUUACUUAUCACUCCCUACCUUGAAUAUUUAUUGUUAUAUGUUGUAUAUGUACUACGUUAUACACCCUACAAGUAAUAAUUAUUACUAUUUUUUUGUUUGUUUGUUUGCUUCGUUUUUUUUGAGACGGAGUCUCGCUCUGUCGCCCAGACUGGAGUGCAGUGGCUCCGCCCCCCGGGUUCACGCCAUUCUCCUGCCUCAGCCUCCCGAGUAGCUGGGACUACAGGUGCCCACCACCACGCCCAGCUAAUUUUUUGUAUUUUUGGUAGAGAUGAGGUUUCAUGGUGUUAGCCAGGAUGGUCUCGAUCUCCUGACCUUGUGAUCCGCCCGCCUCGGCCUCCCAAAGUGCUGGGAUUACAGGCUUGAGCCACCGGACCCGGCCAACUAUUGUUUUAAAGGCAUCAAUAUUUUCCAAAUUUUCUCACAUAUUUAACUUUUCUAGUUAAAUAUUAAAUGUUAUAUUUUAUUUCUAGUUAAAUAUUAAAUGUUAAACAUAUUUAACAUAUUUAACAUUUCUUUCAUGUUUUCAUUUUUGACCAUUUUCCGUCAGCUUGAAAAAUUUCAUUAAUAUUUUUUGUAGUGCUGGUUUGUUGGCAACAACAUUUUUUGAGGAGGGGCUAAAAUAUCUUUAUAUCAUCUUCACUUUUGAAAAAUAUUUUCUUUAGAUACAGAAUUUGCGUUGGCAGUUUUAAUUUCUUCCCUCUUUUUCUUUUAUCACUUUAAAGAUGCCAUUCCAUUGCUUUUGUCUGGUAAAAUUAUCCAUAAAUCUCAUUCUUGCUUUUUGAAGAAGAUGUGCCUUUUUUCUAUGCCUGGUUUAAAAAUCUGUUUCUCCCCCCCCUUUUUUUUUUUUGAGAAGUUUAAAUACGUUUUGCCAAAUAUGGUUAAUUUGCAUGUGUCUCUCUUGAGGCUGACUGGGAUUCUUGGAUCUCUGGUUGUUGCCUUCAUCAGAUUUGGAAAAAUUCUCAUCCAUAGCUCUUCAAAUAUUGUCUCUGUCCCUUUUCUCUUUUUCUGAGAUUUCAAUUGCGCAUGUAUUUGCCCAUGUACUAUAUUAAUUUUUGCCCUAUAUUUGUUAAUACUUAGUUCUUUUCUUUCCAUUUCUUUUCUGUCUUCAAGUUGAAUUUUUUUCUGUCUUUAUGUACACUAAUAAUUUCUUUACUGUGUCUAGUCAGCUAUUAAACACAUUCUAGAGUUUUUAAUUCAUGUAUUUUAUAUUUUUCAGUUCUAGAAUGUUUCAUUUGAUUUUUAUAUUGAUUCUAAUUGUAUGUUAAAAUUGUCUUUUCUUUCAUUCCGCUCAUCGUUUAUUCUCUUUUAUUUAAAUUUAUUCGUUAGUUAUUUUAAAGCUUUUAUCUGUUUAGUCCAAUGAUAUCCAUAGCUAGGGAGAAGAGGAAGUGUCCUUAUAUCAUCUAAUUUUUUUUCAUUUUCUUUCGUUACGUUUUCCAGUUUAUUCAGAUGCCUCGUUUCUAUACAUGUUAGAACUAUAGAGAGAGAGAGGUUGAUGUUACUUUCCUCUCAAACAAGAUUUUCCCUUUUCUCUUAUGCAGGUAGACUGAGAACGAAUCAUCUCAGUACAACUGGGAAUUUAGCCACAUAGGGGUUGGAUUCCACCGCAAGUAAAAAGUUAGUCCUUCUCUAAAGUACAGACAUGCCCUGUGUUUGUUGCAGACCCCUCCCUCUAGAGGGACUUUAUCUUUUAAGCAUUUCAAGAAACAGGAGUUCCUUCUCUGCUUUGCACCACCUUAGCACUCAUGUCUGGGGCUCCUUUAGAUUCCCCUGCCAGUGUCCACCGAAAGCUCUGAGGGUUUCUGUUUCUCCUAGAGGAGUUCUUUGCUUAAAUCAAGCUUAAUCUUUACUAUGUGCACAGAUUUGGCAAAUGCUGCCAUGAAGAAAACUGUUGGUCUCAUCUUUCCCAAGAAAUAUUCCAUCUCUGGAAACAGUUCAUUUAGUCCUCUUUGCAUCCUCCCUACUUCGAUGUCUUACAAACUUGACUUUGGGAUGUAUGCAUUUUUUUCUAUUUGUUGAAGUGGGAGUUGUAACUUGUACCCUGCCUUCUUCAUUCCACUCAGUGGUUAAAAUAGACCAAAAUUUUAAUGAGUUUAUUACCUUUUAUUGGUCCUGACUGGUACAAAUACUGAUAAAAAGGAUUUUAAGAUCAUAUUCAUACUUUUGGGGAAUGAGAGCCACAAUUAAUUAACAAUGUCUGCCAUGAGAUUGGAUGCAAGAGUAUGGCACUCAUACUAUUCCUACUUCUGUCUAAUUACACUAUUUGUUUCUGUGUGCAAAAAUCUUUGGUAGGUGGUGGAUGUGCCCAAGACACAGGGAAGAAAAAGAAGUAAACAGGGAAGUACAACACAGACUCUGAAAUGGGGCAUCAUGGAAGACGGAGCUUUGUCGUCUUGGUCUUUGCUGUAUAUUCACUUCCUACAACAGUGCUAAAUACCUUGUGGAUGCUUAAAUAUAUUAAAUGAAUGCAUAAAUGAAAAGAGUAAAUAAAGAGUGUAUAUGAAAGUAUGUAGAUAAAAUUCUUCACUAAGCCUUGGGGAUCCAGCUGCUUAAGGACUAAGACCGUAUCUAGCUCCUUUUAGUAUUUCCACAGCAUGCCAUGGAGAUACAUGUUUCUGAUUAUAUAUGAUACAUGGAAAUUAUAUGUUGUUGAAUGAGUGAUUGAGUAAAUGUGUACUAGGGCAGCUAAUCAUAAAUAUUUCUACUAUUGCUAAAAUGACUGGAUUUAUCCAUUCCUUCUGAGAGUUUAUACUGAUUGCUUAUAUUGUAUCAAAUACCGUAACUGAGGGCAAUGUUUACUCAAACUAAUAGCACCAUUCAAAUUUAUGCAAACAAUAACACUAUAUCUUUAAAAUGUUUUCACUAAAAGCUGCAUAAAGAGUGUAUUCAACAACAAUAGAAUAAUUUUACAAUCUUUUUUCUUGCUUAAUGGCCAUUUGUGCCUUCUGACAUGCUGCUAGCCAUUCAAAGGUCACACUACCUUGAAGUUGAAGAUCAAGACAAAUGAUUAGACUCAUAAAAGACAAAUCACGUCUUUCUGGACAGGUGAUUAUUAAUAAUUAAUUAGCAUUUAAACAUGUAUUAUUUAAGUUCUUUUUAAGUUAUAAAGUCUUUGAUUUGCUAAACAGUUUAAAUAAUGAAUAAAACAUAAAAUAAUAAUAGUUACCAUUUAUUUAAUUCCAUAAUAACUGAUUUGUAUGUAUUAUAAGCUUUCUUUCUGAAAGCAGAGUUUGGAGGUGGGUUCAUAACUUUCUACAAACAGAAAACUGAGAUUUAGAGGGUUAGCUAGGGAAGAAUUUAAAAUUAGAUCCGUCUUAUUAAAAAAACAAUCUAUGUUCUUGUCUUAGUCAGCUUGGGCCUCCAUAACAAAAUACAAUGGACUGUUGGCUUCAAAAACUGAAACUUAUUUUCUCACAGUUUUGGUGGCUGGUGGGUCAGAGAUCAAGGUGUUGGCCAAAUGUGUUUUUUUUUUUUUUUUUGAGGAUUCUCUUCCUGGCUCACAAAUGGCUGCUUUCCUUGUCAUUGAUGACUUGAUACAGAGGGGGAGAGGGAGAGAGAGAGAGAGCAAAGUGUGUGUUUGUGUGUGUGUCUCUGUGUGUGUUUAUAUUAGAGAGAGAGAGAGACAGAGAUCUUACACUUUUUAUAAGGUCACAGUCUUGUGGUAUUAGUACCUCAUUUUUAUGACCUCAUUUAACCUUAAUUACCUCCUAGAGCCUUUAUCGCCAGAUACAGUCACAUUUCACAUCGAAGGUUUGGGCUUCGACAUAUAAAUUCUGUGGGAUACAAUUCAGUCCAUAGCAAUUCUGAAGCACUAUAAUAUACUCUUUUAAUUUUUAAAUAAAGAUGGAAUUAUUUAAUAUGUUAUCUUUCAGUUGCCUUCUGGGUGUGAUUUACAUUGUGACUUAUAUAUAAUACUAACUCCCUGAAAAACUCUCUGACACAUAA
rnacentral:lncRNA from 1 species